rnacentral:lncRNA from 10 species
GCUGCUUAUAAUUUACAAAGCAUCAUCUCAUUUAUUACUUCAGUUGAUCUUCACAAAAUGUUCUAAGGUACAUUAUCUUACUAUUCCCAUUUUAUAGAUGAGGAAACUGAGGAUCAGAAAGGCGAAGUGGCUGAUGGAUAUAGUUUGUAUAUUUGUCCCCACCCACAUCUCAUGUUGGAUGUAAUCCCCAAUGUUGGAGGUGGAGACUGGUGGGAUUUGCAUCAUGGGGCAGAUCCCUCGUGGCUUGGUGCUGUCUUCCCAAUUGUAAGUGAGUUCUCACGAGAUCUGGUUGUUUAAAAGUGUGUGGCACCUCCCCACCCACACUCUCUCUCUUGCUCCUGCUUUCUUUUUUUUUUAGGCUGAUCAUCUUGCUGCCACUUUUGCCAUGUGAACUGCCUGCUCCUGCUUUGCCUUCCACCAGGAUGGAAAGCUUCCUGAGGCCCCUCCAGAAGCUGAUGCCAGAGCUAUGCUUCCCAUACAGCCUGAAGAAGUGUGAGCCAAUUAAAUCUCUU